ACUCGCAUAGUCUAGUGGCCAAGACGCCUUGAAAUUGUACGACUCGGGUCCAAUAUCAGAUUCCAAGGAGACGGGAGUUCAAAUCUUCCUGUGGGUA